UCCCCGUUGGUGUAAUGGCAGCACGCGACGCUCUGGACGUUGAAGUCUUGGUUCGAGCCCAGGAUGGGGAGC
rnacentral:tRNA from 1 species